rnacentral:tRNA from 1 species
GCCCCCGUAGCUCAGAGGAUAGAGCGUCGGUUUCCUAAACCGUGCGUCGCAGGUUCGAAUCCUGCCGGGGGCGCCA